rnacentral:rRNA from 1 species
GACGAACGCUGGCGGCGUGCUUAACACAUGCAAGUCGAACGGAAAGGCCCUGCUUUUGUGGGGUGCUCGAGUGGCGAACGGGUGAGUAACACGUGAGUAACCUGCCCUUGACUUUGGGAUAAGUUCAGGAAACUGGGGCUAAUACUGGAUAGGAGCUCCUGCUGCAUGGUGGGGGUUGGAAAGUUUCGGCGGUUGGGGAUGGGCUCGCGGCUUAUCAGCUUGUUGGUGGGGUAGUGGCUUACCAAGGCUUUGACGGGUAGCCGGCCUGAGAGGGUGACCGGAGAAGUUGGGACUGAGAAACGGCACAGACUCCUACGGGAGGCAGCAGUGGGGAAUAUUGGACAAUGGGCGAAAGCCUGAUGCAGCGACGCCGCGUGAGGGAUGAAGGCCUUCGGGUUGUAAACCUAUGUCAGCAGGGAAGAAGCGAAAGUGACGGUACCGGAAGAAGAAGCACCGGCUAACUAAGUG